AUAAAGAAGAAUAAGAGACGUUAAGAAAUGCGUGGUGUGCAUACUUACCUCUUAAACUGCUCUCCCUUCCUCUUCCUUGUAAAACAGGUUUGAUUGAAUUGUAUAGAAAGAAAUGGUGAUGAUGGGCAUAGGAAGAAUGGUGGUGAGCUUGAAAUCCAAACUCAGGAGCUUGAAGAUGAUGAAGAAACCAGGGGAUUACGACAAGGUGGAAAAGAGCGAGAGCAUGAGGGUGGAAAUCAGGAGCAGGAAAGCACGGAAGCUCAUCGAACGCACCCUCAAGAUUGCCGAUUCUCCCACUACCAAGACUUUUGCUUUCUGACCUCUUCUCAUAUCAAUACUGCUGUGCUGUAUAUUUUCUAUUAUCAAUCUCAAAUAACCCUUUUAUUC